UCUGAGAAGAUUUCGACAAGAAAC
rnacentral:miRNA from 1 species